GUCUACGGCCAGGCCACCCUGAAUGUGCCCAAUCCUGUCUGAUCUCAGAAGCUAAGCAGGGUCUGGCCUGCUUAGUACUUGGAUGGGAGACCACCUGGGAACACCAGGUGCUAUAUGCU
rnacentral:rRNA from 1 species